rfam:Gossypium arboreum cultivar AKA8401 contig_6478_11, whole genome shotgun sequence.
AAUCCAUGCAUUGUACAUUUCCAAAUUAACUCCUUAAAUUGUUCCCAAGCUUCAUAUAGCGUCUCGUCCUCUAUCUGUCAAAAAUAUGUGAUGUCAUUUCGAAGCUU